AGAGCGAACGCUGGCGGCAGGCUUAACACAUGCAAGUCGAGCGGACGUAGCAAUACGUCAGCGGCAGACGGGUGAGUAACGCGUGGGAACGUACCUUUUGGUUCGGAACAACACAGGGAAACUUGUGCUAAUACCGAAUACGCCCUUACGGGGAAAGAUUUAUCGCCGAAAGAUCGGCCCGCGUCUGAUUAGCUAGUUGGUGGGGUAACGGCCCACCAAGGCGACGAUCAGUAGCUGGUCUGAGAGGAUGAUCAGCCACAUUGGGACUGAGACACGGCCCAAACUCCUACGGGAGGCAGCAGUGGGGAAUAUUGGACAAUGGGCGCAAGCCUGAUCCAGCCAUGCCGCGUGAGUGAUGAAGGCCCUAGGGUUGUAAAGCUCUUUUGUGCGGGAAGAUAAUGACGGUACCGCAAGAAUAAGCCCCGGCUAACUUCGCGCCAGUAGCCGC
rnacentral:rRNA from 1 species